rnacentral:rRNA from 1 species
GACGAACGCUGGCGGCGUGCUUAACACAUGCAAGUCGAACGGUGAAGCGCCUUCCUUUUUGGUGGGUGUGGAUGAGUGGCGAACGGGUGAGUAACACGUGAGUAACCUGCCCCCUUCUUCUGGAUAACCGCAUGAAAGUGUGGCUAAUACGGGAUAUUCUGGGUCUGUCGCAUGAUGGGUCUAGGAAAGAUAUUGUUUCGGUGGGGGAUGGGCUCGCGGCCUAUCAGCUUGUUGGUGGGGUGAUGGCCUACCAAGGCGGUGACGGGUAGCCGGCCUGAGAGGGUGGACGGUCACACUGGGACUGAGACACGGCCCAGACUCCUACGGGAGGCAGCAGUGGGGAAUAUUGCACAAUGGGCGCAAGCCUGAUGCAGCGACGCCGCGUGAGGGAUGGAGGCCUUCGGGUUGUGAACCUCUUUCGCCAGUGAAGCAGGCCUGCCUCGUUUGUGGGUGGGUUGACGGUAGCUGGAUAAGAAGCGCCGGCUAACUACGUG